AGAAGUCGAUGAAUUUGAAGAACUGCUACACCUAUUAGAUUCUCAAAAGAUUUCACAUAAGGAUAAUCGAAUUGCCUAUAAAUUGGACAAAAAUGACGUUUUUUCAGUUUCCUCUUAUUACCAGUACACGUGUAAGAAUUGUGCUGCUAGUACAAGUGUUUUCCCAACAAACAUCAUUUGGAAGACGAAAGUUCCCCAUCGCAUGACCUUUUUUGUUACGGAAGGGUGCUGAAACA
rnacentral:lncRNA from 1 species